rnacentral:rRNA from 1 species
AUUGAACGCUGGCGGCAUGCUUUACACAUGCAAGUCGAACGGCAGCACGGGUGCUUGCACCUGGUGGCGAGUGGCGAACGGGUGAGUAAUGUAUCGGAACGUAUCCGGAAGUGGGGGAUAGCUCGGCGAAAGCCGGAUUAAUACCGCAUAUGCCCUGAGGGGGAAAGGGGGGGAUCCGCAAGGACCUCUCGCUUUCGGAGCGGCCGAUAUCAGAUUAGCUAGUUGGUGGGGUAAAGGCCUACCAAGGCGACGAUCUGUAGCGGGUCUGAGAGGAUGAUCCGCCACACUGGGACUGAGACACGGCCCAGACUCCUACGGGAGGCAGCAGUGGGGAAUUUUGGACAAUGGGCGAAAGCCUGAUCCAGCCAUGCCGCGUGAGUGAAGAAGGCCUUCGGGUUGUAAAGCUCUUUCAGACGGGAAGAAACGGACACGGCUAAUAACUGUGUCUAAUGACGGUACUGUCAGAAGAAGCACCGGCUAACUACGUGCCAGCAGCCGCG